rnacentral:tRNA from 1 species
GCCUGGCUGGCUUAGUCAGAAGAGUAUGCGACUCUUGAUCUCAGGUCGUGGGUUCGAGACCCACGUUGGGUG